UACGGGGGGGGCAAGCGUUGUUCGGAAUUACUGGGCGUAAAGGGUUCGUAGGUGGCCUGCUAAGUCAGACGUGAAAUCCCUCAGCUUAACUGGGGAACUGCGUCUGAGACUGGUGGGCUUGAGUGCAGGAGAGGAACGCGGAAUUCCAGGUGUAGCGGUGAAAUGCGUAGAUAUCUGGAGGAACACCGGUGGCGAAGGCGGCAUUCUGGACCGACAUUGACGCUGAGGAGCGAAAGCCAGGGGAGCAAACGGG
rnacentral:rRNA from 1 species